rnacentral:rRNA from 1 species
UGGGGAAUAUUGGACAAUGGGCGAAAGCCUGAUCCAGCCAUGCCGCGUGUGUGAAGAAGGCCUUUUGGUUGUAAAGCACUUUAAGCGAGGAGGAGGCUACUAGUACUAAUACUACUGGAUAGUGGACGUUACUCGCAGAAUAAGCACCGGCUAACUCUGUGCCAGCAGCCGCGGUAAUACAGAGGGUGAAAGCGUUAAUCGGAAUUACUGGGCGUAAAGCGCGCGUAGGUGGUUCGUUAAGUUGAAUGUGAAAGCCCCGGGCUCAACCUGGGAACUGCAUCCAAAACUGGCGAGCUAGAGUAGGGCAGAGGGUGGUGGAAUUUCCUGUGUAGCGGUGAAAUGCGUAGAUAUAGGAAGGAACACCAGUGGCGAAGGCGACCACCUGGGCUCAUACUGACACUGAGGUGCGAAAGCGUGGGGAGCAAACAGG